UCCUCAGAUUCAAAAUCUUCUUCAGACAUAACCAUCAAAACUGAGCUGAUGACAAAGUAAUUCUGACAAAGAGUGAAAUCUGCAACAAAGGAGACAGUUUGAACACUGGACUAACUUCACUUCAUGAGGAUUCUGCAUCACUGAACUCCUGAGAAAACAUUUCUGCUGUAAUGGAAGUGGACUUUUUUUAUUCCAUGACACAACUUGUGACUGAAACAUACACAAACGACCUCAAACAACAAAAAUGAAUCAAAUUUUUACUUUUAUGUCAUAGAAAAAAAAGAGAAUUACUAUUUUCUGUGAGAAAAGUUACUUUUUAGCCAAACUAACUUUAUUUAUAAAGUGCUUUAAAACAGCAAGUCCUGACCAAAAUACUUAACAUUAAGAACAGAA